GUGGGGAAUUUUGGACAAUGGGCGCAAGCCUGAUCCAGCAAUGCCGCGUGCAGGAAGAAGGCCUUCGGGUUGUAAACUGCUUUUGUACGGAACGAAACGGUCCUGGUUAAUACCUGGGGCUAAUGACGGUACCGUAAGAAUAAGCACCGGCUAACUACGUGCCAGCAGCCGCGGUAAUACGUAGGGUGCGAGCGUUGAUCGGAAUUACUGGGCGUAAAGCGUGCGCAGGCGGUGCUGUAAGACAGGCGUGAAAGCCCCGGGCUCAACCUGGGAAUUGCGCUUGUGACUGCAGUGCUGGAGUACGGCAGAGGGGGAUGGAAUUCCGCGUGUAGCAGUGAAAUGCGUAGAUAUGCGGAGGAACACCGAUGGCGAAGGCAGUCCCCUGGGCCUGUACUGACGCUCAUGCACGAAAGCGUGGGGAGCAAACAGGAUUAGAAACCCUGGUAGUCC
rnacentral:rRNA from 1 species